UUUUGCUUGCCGCCGGGUAAGCUGUAAAGCAUUGAUUUCAUAUCGAUAGGCCGUUGCAGAUAUGAAAGUCAGUGCUUUAUUUUUU
rnacentral:ncRNA from 1 species